rnacentral:rRNA from 1 species
CCCUUGUAUGGUUUACAAAAAAAAAUUAGUAAUUUUAUGAAAAUUAAUAAAAUUUUAAUGGUUAAUUAUAUAAUUAGAGGAGCUUGUUUGAAGUAGAUUUUACUCUUUAUAUUUUAAUAUUUUUAGUUUAUUCAUCUCUGUUAUUAGAUAAGGAUUAGCUUAAAUUAUUUUUUAUAUUUCAGGUCAAGAUGUAGCUUAAAAUACUGAAAAAUUAGCUACAAUUAUGAAAUAUAUAAGCUUAUCUAUUUUGAAGAGGUGUUAUUUAUUUGAAUUUAGUUGUAAUUAUAAUUAGAAUGUUAUUAUGAUUUUGUGUAAUUAGUAU